AUUGAACGCUGGCGGCAGGCCUAACACAUGCAAGUCGAGCGGAUGAAGGGAGCUUGCUCCUGGAUUCAGCGGCGGACGGGUGAGUAAUGCCUAGGAAUCUUCCUGGUAGUGGGGGAUAACGUCCGUAAACGGGCGCUAAUACCGCAUACGUCCUGAGGGAGAAAGUUGGGGAUCUUCGGACCUCACUCUAUCAGAUUAGCCUAGGUCGGAUUAGCUAGUUGGUGGGGUAAAGGCCUACCAAGGCGACGAUCCGUAACUGGUCUGAGAGGAUGAUCAGUCACACUGGAACUGAGACACGGUCCAGACUCCUACGGGAGGCAGCAGUGGGGAAUAUUGGACAAUGGGCGAAAGCCUGAUCCAGCCAUGCCGCGUGUGUGAAGAAGGUCUUCGGAUUGUAAAGCACUUUAAGUUGGGAGGAAGGGCAGUAAGUUAAUACCUUGCUGUUUUGACGUUACCAACAGAAUAAGCACCGGCUAACUUCGUG
rnacentral:rRNA from 1 species